CAACACCAAAUUGAGUGACUGUGCUAUGUUCCUUCAUGAGCUCUGAACAGCAGCUUCAAGGCCCAGUAAUGUGGCAGAGAACCCUGCUUUCCAGAGAAGGAUCCUGGGGGUUCAAACUGCAUGGGACUCAGAAGUCAUGCUACAAGCCAACGCUGCAAACAGCUGAACUCAUGGCUCCAACAUCAGGACAUGGGAUCCAUGUGGCAGGCUGGACUACAUCUCUGCUCUGAAGAGCACUUCUCCAAAAUGGUUUAGACAUGGAAUUCGAUCAUUUUUCAC
rnacentral:lncRNA from 1 species